AUUCUAUUCUGGGCUUCCCACCCAACUCAACUAGCUCCAAUUACUACUCUCUGUCUUAAGCCUUCCCGUUCCAGAUCCUGACCCCCCCAGGUCCUUGGGCUAAUGGGCCUCUCUGUUCUCAGUCUCAUAUCCCUAAAAAUUCUCUGUCCCAGACCCCCCCUCCACUCCCCACCUCAGUCCUCCAGACAUAUACUUACCUUAACUCCAAGUAUCUGGGGAACCCAGGGCUCCCUCACAAUCCAGGAGACUUCCCCAGCCGCACAGGCACACGCACAGCCCAGUCUACAUAUCGCGGGGUGGGGAGGAGGCCUGGACUCCUCAGUUCUCUGCCACCCCAUGCCCCCACCCCUCUCCAGAUUUCUUUCUACGAUGGUGCUCUUCUUGGUCUCCCACAGGAGAAAGCCUCUCUCUCUGCACCCAAUUCACUCCCCUUUUUGGAAGGCACUUCUCAUCGUUUCAUCAAGAGAUGGCCUGUCCAGAUCGGUGCUAUGUCUGGGGGAGAAGGAUCUGACCCCUCUCUCCCUCAGGGGGGGGGCGGGACCGGACCAGCCGUGCUGGCUCUGAAACCCGUUCAUCUCUAAACCUCCAUAAAGAUCUCGCCUUGGUAGGCACCAGAGCUCUGUGUGUUGACUCAUCUCUAGGGUUGCUUCAGGGGGUGUGAGUGCACUGGGUGUCCAUUUGUGAUUCUGCGGGUGACACUGUUCCUUCGUAGGUCUAUGUAACAUCACGUGUCUGCUGACGUUUUCGUUCUGUGUGGGUCGCUGUGGCAUAAUUCUGUGAACCUGUGUAUGGGGAGGGCUGGAAUUCCUCCUCCGUGUAUUAGUGUCUGGGUGAAAUGACUCAGCCUUAUGUAUGUUUCUCAUUACGUUGGAUUUCUGUGUUCCUGAGUGUAGGAGGCAUUGUGAUUUUUUUUUUUUUUUGUACUUGUGUGUUGUCUGUGUUGUGAUUCUGGAUGCGCAUAUAGGAGUUUGACACUGCAGUUCUGUGUACUGGUGUUUAUCUGUG
ensembl:lncRNA